GCAGCGCGGGGCAACCUGGCGGCGAGUGGCGAACGGGUGAGUAAUAUAUCGGAACGUACCCAAGAGUGGGGGAUAACGCAGCGAAAGUUGCGCUAAUACCGCAUACGAUCUAUGGAUGAAAGCAGGGGACCGCAAGGCCUUGUGCUCCUGGAGCGGCCGAUAUCUGAUUAGCUAGUUGGUGAGGUAAAGGCUCACCAAGGCGACGAUCAGUAGCUGGUCUGAGAGGACGACCAGCCACACUGGAACUGAGACACGGUCCAGACUCCUACGGGAGGCAGCAGUGGGGAAUUUUGGACAAUGGGCGCAAGCCUGAUCCAGCAAUGCCGCGUGAGUGAAGAAGGCCUUCGGGUUGUAAAGCUCUUUUGUCAGGGAAGAAACGGCUGUGGCUAAUAUCCACGGCUAAUGACGGUACCUGAAGAAUAAGCACCGGCUAACUACGUGCCAGCAGCCGCGGUAAUACGUAGGGUGCAAGCGUUAAUCGGAAUUACUGGGCGUAAAGCGUGCGCAGGCGGUUUUGUAAGUCUGACGUGAAAUCCCCGGGCUUAACCUGGGAAUUGCGUUGGAGACUGCAAGGCUAGAAUCUGGCAGAGGGGGGUAGAAUUCCACGUGUAGCAGUGAAAUGCGUAGAGAUGUGGAGGAACACCGAUGGCGAAGGCAGCCCCCUGGGUCAAGAUUGACGCUCAUGCACGAAAGCGUGGGGAGCAAACAGGAUUAGAUACCCUGGUAGUCCACGCCCUAAACGAUGUCUACUAGUUGUCGGGUCUUAAUUGACUUGGUAACGCAGCUAACGCGUGAAGUAGACCGCCUGGGGAGUAC
rnacentral:rRNA from 1 species